GACGAACGCUGGCGGCGUGCCUAAUACAUGCAAGUCGAGCGAAUCUUUAGGAGCUUGCUCCUGAAGGUUAGCGGCGGACGGGUGAGUAACACGUGGGCAACCUGCCUGUAAGACUGGGAUAACUUCGGGAAACCGGAGCUAAUACCGGAUAAUCCUUUUCCUCUCAUGAGGAAAAGCUGAAAGUCGGUUUACGCUGACACUUACAGAUGGGCCCGCGGCGCAUUAGCUAGUUGGUGAGGUAACGGCUCACCAAGGCGACGAUGCGUAGCCGACCUGAGAGGGUGAUCGGCCACAAUGGGACUGAGACACGGCCCAGACGCCUACGGGAGGCAGCAGUAGGGAAUCUUCCGCAAUGGACGAAAGUCUGACGGAGCAACGCCGCGUGAGCGAUGAAGGCCUUCGGGUCGUAAAGCUCUGUUGUUAGGGAAGAACAAGUACCGGAGUAACUGCCGGUACCUUGAUGGUACCUAACCAGAAAGCCACGGCUAACUACGUGACAGCCGCCGCGGUAAUAC
rnacentral:rRNA from 1 species